GGUACAAGAGCUAUUUGGGGACCUAUGUCGCUACCGUCCCACAUAAUUACGAGUCGUGGGAUCAGGUGCCCCAGCCCAUCAAGGAUGGACUUACUGACUGGCUUAUGAGACGGUUCUACUUAGAACCAUAUCUAGGUCACCCAGAAAAUCACCCGUUACGAGAGGCCGUGACCAGGAUGAUACGUCAGGAUGCCCUGAAGAUCUACAGGGAUA